CUUUAUUGAAUGUCCCCCGCCUGCACUUACAUCCUUUGAAGUCCUGAUCUAUUCAUAUGGGCACAUCAGGAAGAAUUCACUGAUAAUUUUCAGCUGUGAAGAGGAAGUAAUAUUUUGACACUCUUGGAUGUCCACCCAAUUGCACCCUGGAACUGCUCCUGCUGCCUGCCCAGCCACCUCUUCUAUCUUGAGGUCAGAUUUUGACAGGUUCAGGGAGAGAUGUCCAAGUUCUGGCUCCAGAAGCCCAUUGAGAGUAAUGGGAACUGGCCCUACAGAAAGGAGGGACUGUGGGAAAUUUCUGAGAACAUUAGGGGAAGGAACCUGUGGACUGGCAGGGAGAGAAGGAGGCAAGACUUUCUACUAAGCUGAGCAGGUUUUAUGUCAAACGUGACUGGGAGAGUCUGCCCCUGACUGCUGGCUUCUGUCUCCUUUGCUCUUCCCCUCCCCAGCUCCAUCCAUCAAUUGAAGACUCUCAUGUACACACAUGUGGACAACCCAGCCUGUGUCUAAACCUCAGCUACAAUCCCAUACUACAGGUAUGCAUCUUCUGUGCAGGAAAAUCAACGCUAAAACAAGAACUCAAAAACCAAGAAAACGUGACUUGCUAGGAAGUUCAUGCCACUUCGCAGGUCACAGAAAGUGACCUGAGCUCUUUACCGUUGGCAUCCAAAGGGUUCUGUCCAGUGCUCAGAAGAAUGCCAUUUCGUUGCUAUUUCAGCCCAACAGACCUACAGCAGCUCGUUUACAGGAUCCCCUCCUGGGACUUUAGAAAGAAUCAUGACAGGUAAUGUUUUCUAGGCUUCCUUGCACCUGGUUUCUAGAAAAAUUCCAUCAGUGGAGGCCUAGUGAAGAUUCGAUGGAAGGAAGAAAGAAGGAGCAGAGAGACUGAUGUCAUAUGGUGAGCUCUACUGUACACGAGGAAGGAAUUUCAGGAAGCCACUCUGUGAACUGCUGGGGAUUAGAUUUCUGAAUGAUGAGCCCACUGGUGUUCAUGUAGCAGCAGACAGGACCACAUCCCACUGCCAGCGCCAAUCAAGGAUACUCAAUUAUGGCUUUGGGGGACGAAGGACAGGGUAAAGAGUAUUCCGCAUGUCCAAGAAGUGGUUUACUCUAUUUCAAUGAGAGGAAAAACUAGGGCAAGAAUGCUAUCUGGGCUGGCUGGUGGCUGGCUACCACUCAUUUCUUCUUUAAAAAAAGAAUAUACACAGACAGUGGAAAAGGGAUGAAGUUACGCCUGCUCUCCUCUGAAUAGUAAGGCUAUUAGCAAGAAGAGAAAAAUUAAAAAAUAAUUUGCAUACAUGAUUAUUAGGACGGAAAAGGAUGACUCUAACUGUAGUUCUUGACGCAACUUUGUGGCUUUCUGUGGUUGAGAUAAUGUACAUAAAGCAGAGACCCCACCAUCUGACUAAUUAACUCGGCAGCAGGGAGGGAAUGGAUGAAAGGAUAAUUAAUAGGUCAAAGACCCAGUGCUGUGUUAUGAUUAUUUGAAUAAUAUUAUGAUAAUUUGAAUAACGUACAAGAGUUUGUGAAAAUUGGUUGCUGGCUAGGACUCCAGCUGACAAAACAUUUGAAUCAUGCUCAUUUUAUACCUCCUGGGUAGAUUUCCUUCCUUCCUGAAAGGACUGAGCAUAUGUUUGAAUAUUGGGGGGAGGGCAAGAGACGUGGUGGGAAAUGAUUGUGGAAAAAAUACUGUUUUAAAUGGCCAUGGCAGAAUUAUACUGUUUUAACGUCCACAGCAGAAUCCCUCCAUUUCUAUCCACAAUGGAAUGACCUUAACUGCAAAGCACGGUUGCAGGCAGAGACAAUAGAUCCUGCAGGAUUUGAGUUUGCAGAGACUGUCCAGUGAAAUGAAAAAACCAGUGCCUAUUUCCUGGUUUAAAAAAAUGAAUUACUUAAUUAGAUGAGGUCUAUGGUUGAUGGAUUUCCAUCUUUAUUUAGAAAAACAAAACUAAAGAAUCAUUAUUAUUUUAAACAAGUAGAGGUCUUAAACCAAGACAUUUAUUUAGAAUGUUUUAAAUAUACUAAAUUUGAAUGGGUCCUACACAAAAAUUUGUUUUGAACUCUUGUGGAUUAUUAACUAAUGUAGCAGCAUUUAUAGUAUUCCCUUACUUGACAAUUGUGCAGCCUUGUAUCAUAUAUCAUUUCAGUGGCUUUUUCUCCCUUUAAUCCUUUUUUGCUGAGAAAAUGGACUUCACUGUCAACAUCCAAGCAGCAAUCUAGAACGUGGCCUGAGGGUGUUUAGGAUAACUAAUAAAAAGGCCAACCUGUUUUCUGCUACAUGAGUUUAUUUCCUGCAGGAGUUCUGUGUGAGUUUUAUUACUUAUGUGAAAAGAAUAGUUUCCUUCCACCUUUCCAUUAAUCCAGUUAUUCUCAACUGGGGUGAUUUUGCCCCCGAGAGGACAUUUGGCAACGUCUGGAGACAUUUUUAUUUGUCAUGACCUGGGGGAGCUACUGUUAUCUGGAGGAUAGAGACUAGGGAUACUGCUAAACAUCCUACAAUGCACAGGACAGCCCCUGCAGCAAAGAAUUGUCUGGCUGAAAAUACCAAUAGAGCUGAGGUUGAGA